rnacentral:misc_RNA from 1 species
UCCGGUUUGUCACCGGCAGUCUCCCUAGAGUGCCCUUGCGUAGCAACUAGGGACAAGGGUUGCGCUCGUUGCGGGACUUAACCCAACAUCUCACGACACGAGCUGACGACAGCCAUGCAGCACCUGUGUUCCGGUUCCCUUUCGGGCACCAAGGUAUCUCUACCCCAUUCCGCACAUGUCAAGGGUAGGUAAGGUUUUUCGCGUUGCAUCGAAUUAAUCCACAUAAUCCACCGCUUGUGCGGACCCCCGUCAAUUCUUUUAAGUUUUAGCCUUGCGACCAUACUCCCAGGCGAAUCACUUAACGCGUUAGCUACGACACUGAUCCAGCUAAGCCGAACCAACAUCUAGUGAUUAUCGUUUACAGCGUGGACUAC